rnacentral:rRNA from 1 species
GACGAACGCUGGCGGCGUGCCUAAUACAUGCAAGUAGAACGCUGAAGGAGGAGCUUGCUUCUCUGGAUGAGUUGCGAACGGGUGAGUAACGCGUAGGUAACCUGCCUGGUAGCGGGGGAUAACUAUUGGAAACGAUAGCUAAUACCGCAUAACAGUAGAUAUCACAUGAUAUCUACUUGAAAGUUGCAAUUGCAUCACUACCAGAUGGACCUGCGUUGUAUUAGCUAGUUGGUGAGGUAACGGCUCACCAAGGCGACGAUACAUAGCCGACCUGAGAGGGGGAUCGGCCACCCUGGGACUGAGACACGGCCCAGACUCCUACGGGAGGCAGCAGUAGGGAAUCUUCGGCAAUGGACGGAAGUCUGACCGAGCAACGCCGCGUGAGUGAAGAAGGUUUUCGGAUCGUAAAGCUCUGUUGUAAGAGUAGAACGAGUGUGAGAGUGGAAAGUUCACACUGUGACGGUAUCUUACCAGAAAGGGACGGCUAACUACGUG